rnacentral:rRNA from 1 species
UACGUAGGGGGCUAGCGUUGUCCGGAUUUAUUGGGCGUAAAGAGCGUGUAGGCGGCCAUGUAGGUCCGGUGUGAAAACUCGAGGCUUAACCUCGAGAUGUCAUCGGAAACCAUUUGGCUAGAGUCCGGAAGAGGAGAGUGGAAUUCCUGGUGUAGCGGUGAAAUGCGCAGAUAUCAGGAAGAACACCGGUGGCGAAGGCGGAUCUCUGGGCCUUACCUGACGCUCAGGUGCGAAAGCUAGGGGAGCGAACAGG